CAGAAAAUAGUUUAUUUAAAAUGUUAAUUUUGGAGAUUAUUGAAAAGUAGUUAUACUUUUUUCUGA
rnacentral:tRNA from 1 species